rnacentral:rRNA from 1 species
AUGUCCAAGAGCCGCAAGAUCAGCCGCAUGCUUGCCGAGCAGGACGAGCAGCGUCCAGCGGGCCAGCGGCGGCGUCGGCGUGGGAGUUCUGAAGGCAAUGUCGAAGAGCAUGCUGCGGCGGAAACAAAGAUUGAGGAAGCAGAGGAGGAGGACGGGGACGAGGAACAGCAACAUGUUAGGAUGCAUGACGGCAAGUCGUACCGCAUCACCUUCCCGGACUUUCCCGGCGGGUCGGGCACCUUCGAGCCGGCUGGGGUGCUAUUACCUAACAUGCUGCUGGGGCUUUGUGAUGACAAUAUAGUUAGUGAAACUAAUUACGGCUGUCUCCACUAA